rnacentral:rRNA from 1 species
UGGGGAAUCUUGCGCAAUGGGCGAAAGCCUGACGCAGCGACGCCGCGUGGGUGACGAAGGCCUUCGGGUUGUAAAGCCCUGUGGGGGGAGACGAACCGGUCCAUGGCUAAUAUCCAUGGGUCUUGACGGUAUCCCUUUAGCAAGCAUCGGCUAACUCUGUGCCAGCAGCCGCGGUAAGACAGAGGAUGCAAACGUUGCUCGGAGUUACUGGGCGUAAAGCGCGUGUAGGUGGUUUGAUAAGUCGGGUGUGAAAUCCCGGGGCUCAACCUCGGAAGUGCACACGAUACUGUCGAACUGGAGUACUGGAGAGGAGAGCGGAAUUCCCGGUGUAGAGGUGAAAUUCGUAGAUAUCGGGAGGAACACCAGUGGCGAAGGCGGCUCUCUGGACAGAUACUGACACUGAGACGCGAAAGCGUGGGGAGCAAACAGGAUUAGAUACCCCGGUAGUCC